GUCCUCUGUUAGUGAAGGCAUUGCGUGUCCUCUGUUAGUGAAGGCAUUGCGUGUCCUCUGUUAGUAAAGGCAUUACGUGUUAUUGGACUGAGCCGCAGAAGGAGGGUUUCUGCAAUGUCCAGUAGCUGUGGGCACUUUGGGCUGUGCAUACAGCAUGGUGGACAUAACAAAGCACUUUUCUUGGUGGUAUUUGGGCUGUGCACAGCUACGUGAUGCCAUCUGGUUUUUAGGCACCAAUGCAUACAACUUAAGAAUUUAUCUUGUAGCAAAAAAAAAAACAAAACAAAACUGGAAGACGAUCGUCUCCAAGUAAAACGACACUGAUUUUUAAACCCAUCUUGACACUUUUUACCCAAAAGGAAGCUAUUCUCAUAAUUAUGCAACAAUAUGUUUUAACUAAAAUUUUAUAAAAUUAUAUGGAUAUUGCCUGUUGCCUAAACCAUUAGCCACUGUGGAUGCAAGAAUGCUGUAUUCUUUUUGUAAGUCUAUUUGCAUUAUUAAUGUUAAAAUCGCAGAUUGUCCUGCUUGUUAAAUUGAGUGCAGAGGGAAUGCUCAGUAGGGAAACAGUCUGACAUAUUCAGGACGUUCCUAAGCCACUAAAGUGAAUUUUCUGCCUAUAAAAGAAAUUUUAUGGAAUAAGGUUAUGUCAACCUCAGAAGGUUGCUGGUGGAUAAUUUAGCCUCAUGAUAUGUAGCAUGCCUUGGAGACAUUGAUUGGAAGCUGUGCUACAUAGACUGAGAUUCUUCCUUUUAUUUAGUGUGCUGUAAAGGAGUGAGAAUAUGCUAGACAUGUUAUUCAGUGUAAGUCAAUACAUAUGAGAUGAGAUUAAGAAGCAUCUGUCAGUAUCUUGUGUGGAACAAUUUGUUCAACAAAUAUUUUACCAGUGACCACUAUGUGCCCUGCACUGAAUUCGGCAGAAGAAGAUGAGUAAGUUCUUUAAGAAGCUGAUAGUCGGGCGGGCUCAGUGGGUCACACCUAUAAUCCCAGCACUUUGGGAGGCCGAGGCGGGUAGAUCACGAGGUCAAGAGAUCGAGACCAUCCUGGUCAACAUGGUGAAACCCCGUCUCUACUAAAAAUACAAAAAUUAGCUGGGCAUGGUGGCGCGUGCCUGUAGUCCCAGCUACUCAGGAGGCUGAGGCAGGAGAAUUGCCUGAACCCAGGAGGCGGAGGUUGCAGUGAGCUGAGAUCGCACCAUUGCGCUCCAGCCUGGGUAACAAGAGUGAAACUCUGUCUCAAAAGAAAAAAAGAAAAAGAAAAACAAAACAAAACAAACAGAAGCUGAUGAUCUAUAGAGAAUGACAGUAAACCUUUCAAUGGCCGUGAUUAGUCCUGCCAUGGAAGGGAACUGAUAAAAGCAUUUAUCCUGCUAAUGUAAGGAUUCAGCACUUCUCUUUCUUUGUGCCAUUGAAACCUGGUGGCUUAUGCUUUGACCCUCUUACCCUUGAACUUGGAGCUCAGCCCUUCUCCUUGAACCUGGACAUGCGGUGACUGCUUUCAUCCACAGAAUGAGGGGGAAGCCCGAGGCCUCUCUGAAGGCCAGGCAGCACUGCUGUUCACUGCAACACUCACUCCUGGAGCACUGGGCCCCUUGCAAGGGUCCAGCAUCCAGGGGCUGGGAGUGGGCACUCCUGGCAAUGGUCCUGUGAGGUCAGUCUUUCCUUUUUAUCAUCUGAACCCCUAGACACCAGUGGGCGGAGACCGGCCCACCCUGCUGUUUUGCCCAAAUUCCUGACCUACGCUGUGGUUAACUGUAGCAGCAGAUCACUGGAACACAUGUGGUGACGAGGCGAUAGCUAAGGAUCAGCUGGACGUGACCGUGAGGAGGGUGGGGCGGGGUUCCGGGCAGGAGCAGCCUCAGCCAGGCUGGAGGUGAGAGUGCCUCUGGGCACACGUGUCUGUGUGUCAGCAGAGCUUUUGCGUUUCUUCCUCUGGAUUGGAUGAUGACAUGAGAGGAUAAUACCUGAAAACGGAGACUGAAUAGCAAGGAUCAAUGAGCCUGUGAGCGCGUGCGAGCAGCAGACCUCAGCCUCUCCUGCCAGGCUGUGCCACCCUGUUUCUCCCCUUUGCUAACAUAUUUUCCCUGGCCUUUUCCUAUCUUUGGAAGGGGAGGAGCCCAGGAAACAUGUUUUAUGUGAAUAUAAUUAUGCUACUGAACAGUUUCCACUGAAAGGAAGGUUAUGAGGAGAAGAAAGCAAGACUCAGAAAAAAUGUAAAGUGAAUCAGUAUCAAGAGGCUGAACCCUCUAUAGCUGGAGGAAGAGCCGUAGGGAAACUGGUGUGCCUCCAUGCAUGGUGAAGUCCCAACUGACUGGCUGGGCAGUCCAAAGCCAUUUGAAUCAGCAGCUCUUCUAUGGUGCCUGCAAGUGUACUCAUUCUUUUAAUGCUUUUAGACAACGUGGCUGGGUGCGUGCAUGUGCCCCCAGCAUCUACGCCAGGCACACAAAGUCAGAAACAAGAGGCUGCAUCUUCUUCUCACUUUCCUUUAUCCUAGAAAACCUUCCUCACAAAAGGCACACUUCUGAUUUAUAGAGGUCUCCUUUCCACGAUGCGUGUCUAUAAUGUAAAUAUUUUAUUUAACUUAUGUGCUGUAGACCCCUAAGUGUUUGUGACACCUGAAAUUCAUGUGUUGGAAUCCUAACUCCCGACGUGAUGGUAUUUGGUAGUGGGGCCUCUGGGAAAUGAUUAGGUAUUGAGGAUGGAGCUCUCAUUAGGUCAUAAAGGUAGAACCCUCAUGAAUGGGGUUACUGUUCCUAUGAAAGAGGCCGCAGAGGCCAGGCGCAGUGGCUCAUACCUGUAAUCCCAGCACUUUGCGAGGCCUAGGUGGGUGGAUCGCCUAAGGUCAGGAGUUCGAGGACAGCCUGGCCAACAUGCUGAGACCCCGUCUCUACUAAAAAUAGAAAAAUUAGCUGGGGGUGGUGGUACGUACCUGAAAUCCCAGGUACUCAGGAGGCUGAAGCAGGAGAAUUGCCUGAACCCAGGAGGUGGAGGUUGCAGUGAGCUGAGAUCGCACCACUGCACUCCAGCCUGGAUGACAAGAAUGAAACUCUGUUUCAAAAAAAAAAAGAAAAAGAAAAAACAGAGGUCCUAGAGAGGUCCCUCGGCUAUUCCAUUAUUCGGAGACGCUGUGAGAAGAUGUUGUUUAUAAGUGACUCAGCAUAUGGUAGUUUGUUACAGCAGCCAAGCUGACUGAGACAUUCCCCACACAUGAGUUUUGAUGGUUUCUCAGUGUGGGAUGAGCAGGCAAGUGUGUGGUCUCCUAGACCAGUGUUUCUUCACCUGUGGUUCUCAGACUCAUGGGAAUUUACAUGUGUAUUUUUGGGUGUCUGAGAAUUUUCUUUGAGAAAAUACAUUAUUUCAUUUUGGUGGCAUUUUUCAGUAUCUGCAUUAGUAUUCCUCAAAGUUUAUUGUGCCUGCAAAUCACUGGGUUAUAGAUCCCUUUCAGAAUCAUCGGAUCCUCGGAGGGCCUGAGGCUCUGCAUUUCUUUUUCAUUUAUUUAUUUAUUUUUAAGGCAGAGUUUCACUAUAUUGCCCAGGCUGGAGUACAAUGGCGUGAUCUCAGCUCACCGUAACCUCUUCCUCCUUUGUUCAAGCAAUUCUCCUGCCUCGGCCUCCUCAAUAGCUGGAAUUACAGGCCUGGCCACCACACCCAGCUAAUUUUUUUUUAUUUUUAGUAGAGAUGGGGUUUCCCCAUGUUGGCCAGACUGGUCUUGAACUACUGACCUCAGGUUAUCCACCUGCCUCAGCUUCCUAAAAUGUUGGGAUUACAGGCGUGAGCCACGCCAGGCUAAGGCUCUGCAUUUCUAACAAGCUCUCUGGUGACAAUAGUGUGAGUGUGGGAACAGUGCUUUGAAGAGCCAGGUUCAAGAUGCCCCUUACAGCCUGCGACUGCCAAGUGAUGUCCCUGCCUGCCUGUGUUUGUGAGUGCUGCUUUCAUCGUCACAGAUAAAAAGGAAUGAAGACAGCCAACUAGCGUUUGGCAGCCUUCUGGUUGCCAAGAACGUGCACUGUUGUCAGAGCAGAAUCCACGAGAUAGAAUUUAUGGGCACACGUACUUGGUGGAUCAGAACCGGGAACUCUGUGCCAUCAGCCCUCUCCGUCUCUGCUCGUCCUUCAUUUCUGCUGCCUGGGCCUGACUUCUCUGGGCACAGGCUUUCUCAAGGCGUUCCUGACAUCUGGGACCUUGUGGCUGGCUGUUUGGAUUAGAUGGCAGUUCCCUCUCAGCCACCCUGGAAACUCACAUAGGUGCCCACAGGGACUUCACCUCGCUGUCAGAUGAUGAUAUAUGUGACCUUCCCUUGCGCAUAGCCUUGGCCUAGAGGACACUUGGAAACUGGGUGAUGGGUGAAAUCGUGGGAGGCUGCAGAGCAGAGAAGAACGAGCUGGAGUUUGAAGUCUCGCCGACUUGACCUUGGAUCACGGCUCUGCUACUUUCCAGUCCUGUCGGUUCGGGCAACCUGUGCAGUCUCUUGGAGCCUGUAUCUUCUUCUGUAAUAGUGAUAAUAUCUCGCUGGAAAAGUUGUGAAUAGGAAAUAAAUAAUGAGCAUAACAUCCCUAAGAACACGUCAUCUGUAGAAACCACUCAACUAGGAAAUUACGGCUUAGAAACUGUGCGUGGAGGGGAGCGAUGAGUAUCUUACAUAGGCUGACACUGUGGUGUGAUUAUUCCAUGACAGCAAAGAAUUAGAGUUCAGAAGCAUAGCCUGCCACAGGGGACACAGGGCAGAGCUUCCUAGUGGCUGCUCUCCAAAGUCCCCAUCAUGAAAUUCACAGUAGUGAAAUUUUGUGUGUGAAGGAAUAAAGGUCACACUGGUUUUGUUCACUUAUGAAUUUAUUGGUAAGUAUUUAUUUCCGGUCUUGAGCUUCUGAGCAUUUGCUAGUAUUUACGGCUUUCAUCCCUGGCUCUAUAUUUCUGUUCCUUUUGUGUUUUCCAAUACACACCGCAGAAUAACUUGUUGUCGUUGUUGUUCUGUUUUGUUUUUGAAAUGGAGUUUUCCUCUCGUCUCCCAGGCUGAAGUGCAGUAGUGUGAUCUUGGCUCAUUGCAACCUUCACCUCCCAGGUUUAAGCGAUUCUCCUGCCUCAGACUCUCGAGUAGCUGGGAUUACAGGUGCCCGUGAUCACGCCUGGCUAAUUUUUGUAUUUUUAAUAGAGACGGGGCUUCACCAUGUUGGCCAGAGUGGUUUCGAACUCCUGACCUCAGGUGAUCCACCCGCCUUGGCCUCCCAAAGUGCUGGGAUUACAGACAUGAGCCACCUCGCCUGGCCAGCACCAAAGAAUAACUUAAUGACAUCCAGUUGACUUCAUGAAGGGUGCAUGUUUGGUGCUGCCUAAAUCCGCGUUAAAAAUUCAAUGAUCCGAAACGAGAACGGAAAGUAAAGUUGGAAAGCAAAUGGCCUUCUUCUUUCUGUGGCUGAUUGUACUUUAUCUGGCAUUAGACACCUGGUGGCAGCUACGAUUUUACUUUCUCCUCCUGAUAAUUUUUGUGCAGCUUACGUUGACUGAGAAUUCUUCCCUUCCAGUGUCACCCCAGGCACUUGCUGUGCACUGACACGCUCAUUAUCACGACCAUCUUAUAAGGUAGAUAAAAUCUUAUUCCUGCCUUGGGGGUGUGAACGUAGGCUCAGAGCCACUAGGUGACUCGACAUCGUCACCCUACGGGGUCAGUGUUGGAAGAUUGAAGCUUGUAUUCCCACCAUGGGAGGAAGCAGUGACAUUAAGCAGGUUUUAGAGACUCUCACCAUUUCACAUAAUUUAAAUGGGCAUGUGGCUAUAAGAUAUCUUAUAGGAAAUGAGUAGUUCAAGCAUUGCACUUUGUAUACCUGCUUUGCUUUUACUUUAAUAUGAACAUAUUGGAAGUUUGAAUCUGGACUUGGGUAAACCCACAGUGAUGUAUCUUACGUUGCCAGCUGUAAGGUGUGGAGGGGCCAUCUGUGCGGACCGUCUAUGUCUGCAUUUGUUCCUGGGCUAAGAAACAGCAUGAAAACCAGGGCAGAGCAGAAGGGGGAAUGUUAAAGAGAAAAUUAUUCAGGACUAUUGUGAUGUAUGUCAAGACUACUGGAGUAGCGGAAAGAGAUGGGCUCAACUUUAAAUACAGCCAAGACAGCUGGGGAACUACAGCCAGUGAGCAGACCGAGGCGGUCACUGGAUGGAAACUGACUUAAGAGGAGACUUCAAGGGUGGAGGGAUUCUUGCUAAAGAAUCCAACUUAGCGGGACUCUUGCUACAACUGGACUAGCAGGCCAAGGCAAGGUGCCAGGGGGAGGCCUCAUUGAGAAGCGGGGUCAGAGAAGCCUGUAUGAGGUUUACUCAAGGCGGGGGGCUUUGUCAGGGUGACACUGGUGAGCCCUGCAGAGAAUCAGAGAAACGCGUUCCACGCGGAAUUGAAAACUUUACACACUGGAAUGGCAAUAAAGUGAGCCAUUUAAGUUGGCUUUGGUAUUUUCGAUUAAUUUUGUGAUACAGUUAAGAAAUAUUAAGAAAACUUAUUUUCUAUUUAUGCUCUAUAUAGUGUCUUCUCUUUGGGGGCUACAAAAUUUCAUUAGCUUUGUUUUCACUCUUACGCUACUGAGUCUUCUUAUUUUAGUAAUCAGCUCAUUCUAUACAUUUGCGGUAAUGGCCUUUGUGGAUGGACAGAUAGUAAUUAAUAAGCAACCUACCUAAGUGAAUGAAAGUUGUAUAAAUAUACUUUCAAUGUAUUUAAAGGGAGAACAAAACCCAUUAAAUGUUAUACUUAUGUACAUAUUUAAUUUUAGAAGGAAGCAAAUCAUUCUGUUAUAGACUUUCAGAAACUUCUUCAUUGGGUGAAUUCAAGGAAGAGUAAAAUUUCACAAUAACUUUAAAAUGUAUCCUGAGGCAGGAGAAUUGCUUAAACCCGGGAGGUGGAGGUUGCAAUGAGCUGAGAUAGGGCCCUAAUGCCCUCCAGCCUGGAGACAGAGCAAGACUGUCUCAAAAAAAAAAAAAAAAAAAAAAGUACCAUGUAUCUGAGGAUUGUAUUCUUGUAUUCUGAGGUUUGAAAGUGUAAAAUGAUAUUAAAUGCAUUUUUCCUAUUUCAUGUAAACUUUACAAAACAACAUAGGAGAAUUUGUUUUAAAGAUUUUCUACUUCAAAUUGUUGUAUUUUUGUUUAUUUUCCUUUGUUUUUGCCAAUAUUAUGAUAGGAAAUGAUAAAAAGCCACACUGGUAUUUUAACAAAAAUCAUCAAGAGCCAUUCUUUUGCAUGCACGAUAUUCACAGAUUUCUAAUUUAUCUUUGUAAACCUCCCUUGUGAACAUCCAUAUCAGAAGGUUUACGUGGUUAUUUUAAACACCUCCUCAAUCAAAAGUCGUUAAUAUUUUAAUCUUCCCAAUCAUGGAUAAUUUAGAAGAAGUAACAUCGAGCAUACUUCUCUGGAAAGCAAUAAAGCAUAGGCUUUAAAAAACAGAAAAAAUAUUUUAUUAACUAGUGAGUACCAUUGGAAGUUACAUUUGUUUUAGUCUUAGGAGGUUCAACAUUAUUGCUUUGAAGUGGGGAGAACUGUUCUGAUUAUUCUCAGAAAGUAGCAGAAACAGAAUGCAAACCACAGUUUAAACAGUCGCUUAAAGUUUUGUAUACUAGAAAAUGAAAGAAUCUGCUGUUUCAAUUGCCAUUAAACAGUUACAAUCGCAGAAUUUUACUUAAAUGACUUUCUUCUAAAUUAGACUAAAAACAUGCAUAUCGAAGUGCUGAAAUUACACUGGCAAUUAGUAUUUAAUGCUCAUUUAAAGUUUGAUUCUACGUAUGAACUGUCUUUGCAUUAUCUCAAUUUACAUGUCCCUGUGAUUUUCUGAAUCUUAAUCCCAGUAGCAAUGCUGAUGUUUAAGCUCCUCUUUCAAGAAAGAAAGAAAGGCUACAAACCACUUUUUCAUACAUUACACAUAAAGAUACGGUUCCGUGGAAUAAUCUUGAGGAAUUCGUUGUGAAAAUGGUAAAUGGUAUAUGCUUAGUUAAAGAAGGCCGUUUCAGUGUGAAAGUGUGAAAACAUUGUUUCUUAGCAGAACGUUAAACUUAAUAACUGCGAAGAAAAGUAACUAGCAUUGUAAAACUGUAACAAAGCAAUCUGACCCCAUUGACUUCUAAAGAGGAAUCCCAGUCCAAAAAUAAACCUGUGGCCUGGUGAGGUGGCUCAGCCUGUUAUCCCAUCACUUUGGGAGGCCGAGGCGGGCAGAUCAUGAGGUCGAGAGAUCGAGACCAUCUGGCCAACAUGGUGAAACCCCACCUCAACUAAAAAUACAAAAAUUAGCUGGACCAGGUGGGGUGCACCUGUAGUUCCAGCAAUUCCAGAGGCUGAGGCAGGAGAACCACUUGAACCUGGGAGGCAGAGAUUACAGUGAGCUGAGAUUGCACCACUGCACCCCAGCCUGGCGACAGAGCGAGAUGCUGGCUUAGUCAAUGAGUACAUAAUAAACCUGCAUUGCACUUCUUGCUUCCUGAGAUGGAAACUUGGGAACAAACUCUGGAAGGUGAUUGUGGGAGGACUGGGGCUACUGGUUUGCCUUUUUGAUGUCUAGUUCACCCUGAAUCUGUUUCUCUGCACUGUGACGUCCCUCCUUGCUCAUGAAGAGCGUUGUGCGGUGAGACUAUUUCACAGCCCCUUCUUCUCCCAGGGGGGCCGCAGAAGCCUGCAUCUGAGUCCUGUGGCCGAGUGAAAGAGUGGCUGUGACGUGGUGCUUCCCACGGCAUGCUCUAGAGCCAGAGGCUGGGGCUGGCUCCCUGCCUUACCAGCACUGACCUUGAAUAUGACUUUUUUUAAAAAGGUAGGGGGAGGGUGGGCAACAAAACUACUUACCUGCCUGUUUGUCAUGAGGCUUCAAUGAUAUAAUAUACGGAAAGGCGAAGCAUGGUGUCUGACAGAGAGUGAAUAAUCGAAUGUUAGCUGGCGCUUUUGUUUUCAAAUGUGUGGGUUUGCAUAUAUCCAUAGUUGAUCUUAUUAUCAUCCUGAUAUUUCUAACCCUCUUUAUUCCAAAUAAACCACGUGUGUGGACCAGUGGCUGAGGUGUGGAAUCCAGGGAGCGCCUGGUCCAGCAGCCUCGUGCUCGGCUGCUUCCAGGCAGAAGAGCCUGGUCUCUUUCUCUCUGUCUCUUUCUGUUUCUCUGUCUCUCUCAGUUGUUUCUCUGGCUUUUUCCUUGUUCUCUGACUCUCUCUGCUUCUGUCUCUUUUUGCUUUUUCUCUCUGUCUCUGUCUCCAUUCUGUGCUCAAGGAUGACCCUAAAAGCAAGUGACAUACUUCCCGGGUCAUCUUUCCUUAACUGUCCCCAAGGAUGGGGUCUUUGUCAUCUGAGGGACAGCUCCUGAAACCUGGUCAGGAAGCAGGGUCAGGAAGUGUCCUGAGACACCAAAGUCACUGUGUGUUUUCACUGUAGGCCUGUGAGGAUUACAGUAGGUAGAUUGUGUCAUUUUUCAUAAUGUAUACAUUUAUUUUUCCUCUAAAUUAUAAGCGUCUGGUGCAGAUAGAAAAGUUACUCUUUAUAACUCUCCUAAUUCAGUGUUUGCUGUAAAUGAUCGGAUAACGUAGUCUUUGCUGAAAUUUGUCAGAUAGGACUGCUGUGGUUUGGCUUUGUUUGUUCCGAAACUUUUCCUUAAUGUUCUCUGUGGUGUUGAGAUUUCUCAGGAGCACAGAGUGUUUCUGUGUCACUUGGCGAAUUUGGCUGGACAUGUUUUUAUUUUGGACAUAUUUUUGAAAAUCAAACCGUAGGUCCCUGGUUUCAAAUCACUCUUCAGUCCUGCUGUUGUUUUUGGCUUCCAGAGACAAGACCGAUAGCAGCAUGCUACGGAAUAUGUGCCAUUGUCUAGGGAUCCAAGACUGUGCCGUGGCUGCCGCUGCUGUCCGUGCGGCUGUGACGGCGGAAACAGCACUUUCCUUUCGUGGGAAGAAGGCGUGGUGUGCAGUACUGGUCACUGUUGGAGAGAUGUUUACGUCUUGUACAUGAAGCGCUGCCCUCCCUCUGACAGCCGCUUGCCAAGUGGUUCCAUCCAUCACUGGGAGCAGGCACCACACGGCUCACUGCCCCAAGGUAUCCUGAAAUAUUUCUCCCAGCUUUAACGUGUUCAUUCUCUCCAGCUUAAUCUGCGGUGAAGAUAUCUACCCCACAGGAGAUACGAGAGCGAUUUGCCUGGUUUAGGACGAUGGCGCAGCUGUUCUGACUUUAAACUGCGUGAGUAGUUUAUGUCACAGAUCCUGCUGAAGGCCUGUGCAUUCUGAUCAAGAGACAGGAGACAGCGGGAGACAUGGAAAGGAUUAUAUAAAGACUGUUGCUUCCUGGAUUCAUGGACCAAUGAGGAGAAAAGCCAGUUACAUUCUGUAGCAAGCAAAAAACCAGAGGAAAAAACUCCUUUGAGCAGAAGUCUGGAUGCCUCCAUCCCCACUCUGAGCCCCUAUUCCCAUGCUGAGCGUCUAUCUUUACGCUGCGCCUCCAUGCCCACGCUGGGCCUCCAUCCCCAUGCUGGGCCUCCAUCCCCACUCUGGGCCUCCAUCCCCAUGCUGAGCCUCCAACCCCAUGCUGAGCCUCCAUCCCCAUGUUGAGCCCAUCCAGCUAAGCCAGUGUUCUUGGAGCUUCUGUUUUUGCUUUACUAUUAGCUCGAUGAAGGCCUAGACUGUCUUUGCCACCUUGAUCAUAGCUAUUCAAUCAAAGCUUAUUGGAAGAAUGGGAUGUUACCCAAGCACAAGCUCAUGCCUGUAAUCCCAGCACUUUGGGAAGCUAAGAUGGGUGGAUCAUGAGGUCAUGAGUUCGAGACCAGCCUGACCAACUUAGUGAAACCCCAUCUCUACUAAAAAUACAAAAAUUAGCCAGGUGUGGUGGCACAUACCUGUAAUCCCAGCUACUCUGAAGGCUGAGGCAGGAGAAUCGCUAGAACGCGGGAGGCGGGGGUUGCAGUGAGCCGAGAUUGUGCUACUGCAUUCCAGCCUAGGCAAGAGAGUGAGACUCUGUUUCAAAAAGAAAAAAAGAGGCCGGGCGCGGUGGCUCACGCCUGUAAUCCCAGUACUUUGGGAGGCUGAGGCGGGUGGAUCACGAGGUCAAGAGAUCGAGACCAUCCUGGUUAACAUGGUGAAACCCCAUCUCUACUAAAAAUACAAAAAUUAACUGGGCAUGGUGGCGCGUGCCUGUAAUCCCAGCUACUCAGGAGGCUGAGGCAGGAGAAUUGCCUGAACCCAGGAGGCGGAGGUUGCAGUGAGCCAAGAUCGCGCCAUUGCACUCCAGCCUGGGUAACGAGCAAAACUCUGUCUCAAAAAAAAAAAAAAAGAAUGGCAUGUAAUGGUUCUGUAAUGAACAAGGCUCGUCUGCCUGUUGUAUAGUAAGCUACUCGCUGAUAUGACAAGUUUGCAGUGGAGGAAAGAUUUUAUUUACAGGCAGCUGAGUGAGAAGAUGGGAGAACAGCAGUCAAAUCUGUCUCCUUGGAGAUGGGGUUUUAGGGAUAUUAAUGGGAUAGAGGAGCCAGGUGGGCUGAAGCAUAGGGAAAGGUGAUGGGGAUAAGGAAAAGUGAGGUGAUCCAUGAUCUGUGCAAGUACAGUCGAGUUUCAUAGCUCUUCAUGGCAUGUUCACAAAACAGCAGCAUUACCGUGAUGAGAGGGCGGAGAUUUUGGCCCUCUGACCUCAAAAGGUCACCCAUGGGAUAUUCACUCGGGUCCAGUUGAAGGGUCAGUGGUCUCGGCUGGCUUGAACUGGACAAGAGCUGAUUCCAACUUCCUGAAAAACAACUUAAGGAAACAUUUCCAUGGUGACCUAUGCAUCGGAGACACUGUCUACAAGGAAGACGGUGGGAGUGCAGCUAUAUGUUGCUUAGCUAUGUGACUUUUAGCUAUACGGAUUUUAAUAUCAACUAGAAGCAAGUGACUAAGGUAAAGUUUGGUGAGGCUAAUCAGAUUAGCCUUCAGUUUCAUUUCUAAUGCAUGGGGGUUCUAAGUUUCUUUUAGUAUGAAAUAUCUAUGAUUACAUGUCAAAACAUGUACCACAGGAAAAGAAGGCAUUAUUGAAGAAGUAGGAAAUGAUCAAAUUCCUAAAGGCACUUGGCUCUUGGAUGGCUAGAGAGAAUGGGCAAAGGUUUCACAUGAGGAUGAUCAAGACUACCCGGAGACUGGGGCUGAGAGCUGCGAAGGCAGCACCCACUAUCAAAUAUCAUGAACCAGGAAAAAGUGUACUCAGCCACAAAGUCAGGAGCUGAAGGUUAAUUCCAUCACGAGCUGGAGUAAGAGUAGGGGCAGGUGGCAGGAGCCCAGAGCUUGCACAGAUUUGAAGUCAGAAGCUUUUCCAAUAUUUGAGCAGGUUUUUGGAGUCACGGUAGCUAUUGGACCAGUUUUAUGAGGGUGGACAUGGGCUGGGUCUUCAUCUGGGCCUCAACUACAAAUUCUGAGGAGCAGUCAGUAUUUCUUCCCGUAAGAACUGCUGGGCACAUAGUAAACCGUUAAUAGACGUUUGGUGGAAUGACUUUGGUGUGACUCAGCUAGAAGACGUGCAGUUCGUUCCACGGUUCCUCUGCCCACCAGUGAUGUGCAUUCCUGUUCAUUCCGUUUUGGCCUCAUUUAUAACACAUAGAGUGGUGGUGUUGAACGUGCCGCCCUUCUGUGUUUUGUAGUUAUAAUGUGUGUGUGUGUGCACAUGUCUGCAUAUAAAGGAUUCAAUCCAGCUUAUGGCCCUCAGGUUCCUUUUCCUCUUCUCUUUCAAAUUCUUCAUGGCUUGUGAAUGCUGAGAAAACCGAGUCCUGUAUUAACCUGAUUACCUGAACUUUCAGAAUUUGGUCGUUACUGACAUUAUGAGUUUUCUCAUGAAUUCCUUUCCCCCCCCAGAACUUUCACUCAUGUAUAAACUUGAAUAUAAUGAAGUUAACUUCCUGUAAUUCAUUUACUCCUAUUAUAUCAGAAAGAUCAUCAAAAUUUGACGUGAAACUCAGUUCACAUGAAGUAGCUGUUGGCCCUGAACAAGUCAGUUAAAUCCUCUUCAGAGGAAACGCUCGGAAUAGCAGAGCAAGGACUUUCAAAAAUCCACUUCCCCCGAAAAGCAAAAAAAAAAAAAGAAA